CUCCGACUUCAUGGGGUCGAGUUGCAGACCCCAAUCCGAACUGAGACCGGCUUUUUGGGAUUCGCUCCACCUUACGGUAUCGCAGCCCUCUGUACCGGCCAUUGUAGCAUGCGUGAAGCCCAAGACAUAAGGGGCAUGAUGAUUUGACGUCAUCCCCACCUUCCUCCGAGUUGACCCCGGCAGUCUCCCAUGAGUCCCCGGCAUAACCCGCUGGCAACAUAGGACGAGGGUUGCGCUCGUUGCGGGACUUAACCCAACAUCUCACGACACGAGCUGACGACAACCAUGCACCACCUGUGUACGAGUGUCCAAAGAGAACCCCGUCUCGGGGGCUUUCUCGUACAUGUCAAGCCUUGGUAAGGUUCUUCGCGUUGCAUCGAAUUAAUCCGCAUGCUCCGCCGCUUGUGCGGGCCCCCGUCAAUUCCUUUGAGUUUUAGCCUUGCGGCCGUACUCCCCAGGCGGGGCACUUAAUGCGUUAGCUGCGGCACGGAACUCGUGGAAUGAGCCCCACACCUAGUGCCCAACGUUUACGGCAUGGACUACCAGGGUAUCUAAUCCUGUUCGCUCCCCAUGCUUUCGCUCCUCAGCGUCAGUUGCGGCCCAGAGACCUGCCUUCGCCAUCGGUGUUCCUCCUGAUAUCUGCGCAUUCCACCGCUACACCAGGAAUUCCAGUCUCCCCUACCGCACUCUAGUCUGCCCGUACCCGAUGCAAGCCCGAGGUUGAGCCUCGGGAUUUCACACCAGACGCGACAGACCGCCUACGAGCUCUUUACGCCCAAUAAUUCCGGACAACGCUUGCGCCCUACGUAUUACCGCGGCUGCUGGCACGUAGUUAGCCGGCGCUUCUUCUGCAGGUACCGUCACUUGCGCUUCUUCCCUGCUGAAAGAGGUUUACAACCCGAAGGCCGUCAUCCCUCACGCGGCGUCGCUGCAUCAGGCUUGCGCCCAUUGUGCAAUAUUCCCCACUGCUGCCUCCCGUAGGAGUCUGGGCCGUGUCUCAGUCCCAGUGUGGCCGGUCGCCCUCUCAGGCCGGCUACCCGUCGACGCCUUGGUAGGCCAUCACCCCACCAACAAGCUGAUAGGCCGCGAGCCCAUCCCCCACCGAAAAACUUUCCAACCCACACCAUGCGAUGCGAGCUCAUAUCCGGUAUUAGACCCCGUUUCCAAGGCUUAUCCCGAAGUGGAGGGCAGGUUGCUCACGUGUUACUCACCCGUUCGCCACUGAUCCACCCAGCAAGCUGGGCUUCACCGUUCG
rnacentral:rRNA from 1 species